AAGUCGUAACAAGGUUUCCGUAGGUGAACCUGCAGAAGGAUCAUUAACACGUAUCCAAACGUUAAAACCCCCCCCCGUGAACCUUCAUCCUGCACUCGGGUAGGAGCUUUGCCAAAGGGUCCCCAGCCCCCUAAUAACUCUGUUAACAAUGGAUAUCUUGGUUCUC
rnacentral:misc_RNA from 1 species